GGCUGAGCCAGCGGCUCUUGGGAGGCUGCGUCCGCGCGCCGGCGGGGCGGGGCGGCCGGGCCCUGCGCGUCAGGCCUGAGACCUGGGAGGAAGCUGGAGAAAAGAUGCCCUCUGAAUCUUUGUGUUUGGCUGCCCAGGCUCGCCUCGACUCCAAAUGGUUGAAAACAGAUAUACAGCUUUUGUCUGGUCCUCUGAGCCCCAGUGAGAGUUUCCUGAGGUACCUCACCCUUCCACAAGACAACAGGCUUGCCAUUGAUCUGCAACAAACGGCGGUUGUUGUCAUGGCCCAUUUAGACCGUCUGGCUACACCCUGUAGAUGCCUCCUCUGUGUAGCUCUCCGACGUCUCAUAAGAGUCAUUUUUUACAGGUCAGAACUGUAGAAAUAAUGAGAAAGUGACACUUGUACGCAUAGCUGAUUUGGAGAACCAUAAUAACGAUGGAGGCUUCUGGACUGUGAUUGACGGGAAAGUGUAUGAUAUAAAGGACUUCCAGACACAGUCGUUAACAGAAAAUAGUAUUCUUGCUCAGUUUGCAGGGGAAGACCCAGUGGUAGCUUUGGAAGCUGCUUUGCAGUUUGAAGACACCCGGGAAUCCAUGCACGCAUUUUGUGUUGGCCAGUAUUUGGAGCCUGACCAAGAAGGCGUCACCAUACCAGAUCUGGGGAGUCUCUCCUCACCUCUGAUAGACACAGAGAGGAAUCUGGGCCUGCUUCUCGGAUUACACGCUUCCUAUUUAGCAAUGAGCACACCGCUGUCUCCUGUCGAGAUUGAAUGUGCCAAAUGGCUUCAGUCAUCCAUCUUCUCUGGAGGCCUGCAGACCAGCCAGAUCCACUACAGCUACAACGAGGAGAAAGACGAGGACCACUGCAGCUCCCCAGGGGGCACACCUGCCAGCAAAUCUCGACUCUGCUCCCACAGACGGGCCCUGGGGGACCAUUCCCAGGCAUUUCUGCAAGCCAUUGCAGACAACAACAUUCAGGAUCACAACGUGAAGGACUUUUUGUGUCAAAUAGAAAGGUACUGUAGGCAGUGCCAUUUGACCACACCGAUCAUGUUUCCCCCCGAGCAUCCCGUGGAAGAGGUCGGUCGCUUGCUGUUAUGUUGCCUCUUAAAACAUGAAGAUUUAGGUCAUGUGGCAUUAUCUUUAGUUCAUGCAGGUGCACUUGGUAUUGAGCAAGUAAAGCACAGAACGUUGCCUAAGUCAGUGGUGGAUGUUUGUAGAGUUGUCUACCAAGCAAAAUGUUCGCUCAUUAAGACUCAUCAAGAACAGGGCCGUUCUUACAAGGAGGUCUGCGCUCCUGUCAUCGAACGUUUGAGAUUCCUCUUUAAUGAAUUGAGACCUGCUGUUUGUAAUGACCUCUCUAUAAUGUCUAAGUUUAAAUUGUUAAGUUCUUUGCCCCAUUGGAGGAGGAUAGCUCAGAAGAUAAUUCGAGAACCAAGGAAAAAGAGAGUUCCUAAGAAGCCAGAAUCUACGGAUGAUGAAGAAAAAAUUGGAAACGAAGAGAGUGAUUUAGAAGAAGCUUGCAUUUUGCCUCAUAGUCCAAUAAAUGUGGACAAGAGACCCAUUGCAAUUAAAUCACCCAAGGACAAAUGGCAGCCGCUGUUGAGUACUGUUACAGGUGUUCACAAAUACAAGUGGUUGAAGCAGAAUGUGCAGGGUCUUUAUCCGCAGUCUCCACUCCUCAGUACAAUUGCUGAAUUUGCCCUUAAAGAAGAGCCAGUGGAUGUGGAAAAGAGAAAGUGCCUACUAAAACAGUUGGAGAGAGCAGAGGUUCGCCUGGAAGGGAUAGAUACAAUUUUAAAAUUGUAUCUGGUGAGCAAGAAUUUCUUACUUCCAUCUGUGCCGUAUGCGAUGUUUUGUGGAUGGCAAAGACUUAUUCCUGAGGGAAUCGAUAUAGGGGAACCUCUUACUGAUUGUUUAAAGGAUGUUGAUUUGAUCCCGCCUUUUAAUCGGAUGCUGCUGGAAGUCACCUUUGGCAAGCUGUACGCUUGGGCUGUUCAGAACAUUCGAAAUGUUUUGGUGGAUGCCAGUGCCAAAUUUAAAGAGCUUGGUAUCCAGCCGGUUCCCCUGCAAACCAUCACCAAUGAGAACCCAUCGGGACCGAGCUUGGGGACCAUCCCGCAAGCCCACUUCCUCCUGGUGAUGCUCAGCAUGCUCACCCUGCAGCACAGCGCAAACAACCUUGACCUCCUGCUCAAUUCCGGCACGCUGGCCCUCGCUCAGACGGCACUGCGCCUGAUUGGCCCCAGUUGUGACAGCGUUGAGGAAGAUAUGAAUGCUUCUGCUCAAGGUGCUUCUGCCACAGUUUUGGAAGAAACAAGGAAGGAAACGGCUCCUGUGCAGCUCCCUGUUUCAGGGCCAGAACUGGCUGCCAUGAUGAAGAUUGGAACAAGGGUCAUGAGAGGUGUGGACUGGAAAUGGGGCGAUCAGGAUAGGCCUCCUCCAGGCCUAGGCCGAGUGAUUGGUGAGCUGGGAGAGGACGGGUGGAUAAGAGUCCAGUGGGACACAGGCAGCACCAACUCCUACAGGAUGGGGAAAGAAGGAAAUUACGACCUCAAGCUGGCAGAGCUGCCAGCCCCUGCACAGCCCUCAGCAGAGGAUUCGGACACAGAGGACGACUCUGAAGCCGAACAAACUGAAAGGAACAUUCACCCCACUGCAAUGAUGUUUACCAGCACUAUUAACUUACUGCAGACUCUUUGUCUGUCUGCUGGAGUUCAUGCUGAGAUCAUGCAGAGUGAAGCCACCAAGACUUUAUGCGGACUGCUGCAAAUGCUGGUGUACAGGGAGCAACACCGGAGCUGGUGCACGCUGGGGUUUGUGCAGAGCAUCGCUCUCACGCUGCAGGUGUGCGGCACCCUCAGCUCCCUGCAGUGGAUCACGCUGCUCAUGAAGGUCGUGGAAGGGCACGCACCCUUCACUGCCACCUCGCUGCAGAGGCAGAUCUUAGCUGUGCAUUUGUUGCAAGCAGUCCUUCCGUCAUGGGACAAGACCGAAAGGGCGAGGGACAUGAAAUGCCUCAUGGAGAAGCUGUUUGACUUCUUGGGGAGCUUGCUCACUAUGUGCUCCUCUGACGUGCCGUUACUCAGAGAGUCCACGCUGAGGCGGCGCAGGGUGUGCCCGCAGGCCUCGCUGACUGCCACCCACAGCAGCACACUGGCGGAGGAGGUGGUGGCACUGCUGCACACGCUGCACUCCCUGACUCAGUGGAAUGGGCUCAUCAACAAGUACAUCAACUCCCAGCUCCGCUCCAUCACCCACAGCUUUGCGGGAAGGCCUUCCAAAGGGGCCCAGUUAGAGGACUACUUCCCUGAUUCCGAGAACCCUGAAGUGGGGGGCCUCAUGGCGGUCCUGGCUGUGGUUGGAGGCAUCGAUGGUCGCCUGUGCCUGGGCGGCCAAGUUGUGCACGAUGACUUUGGAGAAGUCACCAUGACUCGCAUCACCCUGAAGGGCAAAAUCACCGUGCAGUUCUCUGACAUGCGGACGUGUCACGUUUGCCCAUUGAAUCAGCUGAAACCACUCCCUGCCGUGGCCUUUAAUGUGAACAACCUGCCCUUCACAGAGCCCAUGCUGUCUGUCUGGGCUCAGUUGGUGAACCUCGCUGGAAGCAAGUUAGAAAAGCACAAAAUAAAGAAAUCGACUAAACAGGCCUUUGCAGGACAAGUGGACCUGGACCUGCUGCGGUGCCAGCAGUUGAAGCUAUACAUCCUGAAAGCAGGUCGGGCGCUGUUCUCCCACCAGGAUAAACUGCGGCAGAUCCUGUCUCAGCCAGCUGUUCAGGAGACUGGAACUGUUCACACAGAUGAUGGAGCAGUGGUAUCACCUGACCUUGGGGACAUGUCUCCUGAAGGGCCGCAGCCCCCCAUGAUCCUCUUGCAGCAGCUGCUGGCCUCGGCCACCCAGCCGUCUCCUGUGAAGGCCAUAUUUGAUAAACAGGAACUUGAGCCCUUUAGAUUAUUUCUCCCUGUGACGCUAUCAAGCAGCCUGGGUUCAGUUUGACAGUUAAGCAUUGAGAUAUCUCUAUCACUACCCUGUCUCACUUUGCAAAAGGAAGAGAACUUCAAUGCUGUGCAGCAGGAAGGAUGCCAGGAAAAUUAGAUUUUAUUUUCAGCUCUGCUUCUCACCAGCUUGUGUGAUAUUGGGAAAUUUAUUCUUCUGCUCUGGAUCAGUUUUCAAUAUUUCAAAUAUGCGUGGACCUGUUUCCAAAGAGCUAAAAGACCUCCAGAGGUCCUCUCAUUAUUAAGAUAUGAUGAUGCUAAUAAAAGCGUAACAUCCGAAA